rnacentral:rRNA from 1 species
AUGAUCUUCGAGUGGAAGGGGGGGGUCGUGGAGGACGCCAUCCUGCCGGAGCGGCAUGCAUUGCUGACCAUCGCAGAGGAGGAGGGCAAGUUGUUGCCGCCGUCGUUCGUGCUAAGGGUUGAGGGGAUGAAGGACGAGCACGCCGCCUCCAAAGUGUUCAGCUGGUCCUUGGAUUCCUUGGAGUUCCGACACCUAGCAUCUCACAAGGAGGAGAUCCACGGCGGCAAUGCGCCCAGCGUUGGUUUUCUUGACCCCCACCCCCCCACACACAAAGAGGGUUUCUCUUCUUUAUAA